UAAACUGCUAAAUAGAUGGUUUAAUGAAAAAGGUGCUAAAAAGGGCUUGGUAAGAGGGCUCCCCACGUUUUGGCUUCAGAUGAGUAUGCAGGGACCCCAGACGCUUAAGGGCAGUGAUGUCCCCAGCGCAGCUGACAUGUAAGAGCACUCAGGCUUUCCAUAAGUCCCUCACUUGAGUCUCCCACCUACUAUUACAGAAAGGCAGCAUAAAAUAUUCAUUUUUAAAAAUUUAAACAAAUUA